UACGUAGGGGGCGAGCGUUUGUCCGGAUUCAUUGGGCGUAAAGCGCGCGCAGGCGGCCGCGAGAGCCCGGCGUGAAAGCCCCCGGCUCAACCGGGGGAGGCCGUCGGGGACCUCGUGGCUGGAGGCCGGUAGGGGCGAGCGGGAAUUCCCGGUGUAGUGGUGGAAUGCGUAGAGAGUCGGGAGGAACACCGGUGGCGGAGGCGGCUCGCUGGGCCGGUCCUGACGC
rnacentral:rRNA from 1 species